UGUCUCAGUUCGGAUUGGAGUCUGCAACUCGACUCCAUGAAGCUGGAUUCGCUAGUAAUCGCGCAUCAGCCAUGGCGCGGUGAAUACGUUCCCGGGCCUUGUACACACCGCCCGUCAAGCCAUGGAAGCCGGGAGUGCCUGAAGUGUGCAACCGCAAGGAGCGCCCUAAGGUAAAACUGGUGACUGGGGCUAAGUCGUAACAAGGUAUC
rnacentral:rRNA from 1 species